rnacentral:tRNA from 1 species
AGUAAAGUCAGCUAAUUUUAAGCUCUUGGGCCCAUACCCCAAAAAUGUUGGUUAAAAUCCUUCCUUUACUA